AACGAACGCUGGCGGCAUGCCUAACACAUGCAAGUCGAACGAAAACAUCGGGUCUAGGGGCGCACGGGUGCGUAACGGGUGGGAACAUGCACACAGGGUCGGAAUAACUCCACGAAAGGGGUGAUAAUACCGGAUAAGGUCUUCGGACCCAGGAUUUAUCGCGCUUGGAUGGACUAGCGUGGGAUAAGCUGGUUGGUAGAGUAAAAGCCUACCAAGGCGAGGAUCCAUAGGUGGUCAGAGAGAAUGAUCAGCAACUCUGGGACUGAGACACGGCCCAGAAUCCUACGGAAGGCAGCAGUGGGGAAUAUUGGACAGUGGGCGAAAGCCUGAUCCAGCUAGGCCGCGAGAGUGAUGAAGGCCUUAGGGUUGUAAAGCUCUUUUAACCGGGCUGAUAAUGACAGUACCGGGAGAAAAAGCCCCGGCUAACUACGUG
rnacentral:rRNA from 1 species